GUAACCAAGAGAUGCAUUGAGAAGUUAAACAGGCCGUCUAACUACUUCUAUCUUGUUGGCUACGAAACCACUGCUUUUUCUAAAUAACUCCUAUAUUUGUAUCCGCCCAACCCAUCUUGGUUUGGGCUUUUUUUU
rnacentral:antisense_RNA from 1 species